UACAGAGGGUGCAAGCGUUAAUCGGAAUUACUGGGCGUAAAGCGUGCGCAGACGGUUAUAUAAGUCGGGUGUGAAAGCCCGGGCUCAACCUGGGAAUUGCAUUCGAGACUGUGUAGCUAGGGUACGGAAGAGGGAAGCGGAAUUUCAGGUGUAGCGGUGAAAUGCGUAGAUAUCUGAAGGAACACCAGUGGCGAAAGCGGCUUCCUGGUCCAGUACCGACGUUCAGGCACGAAAGCGUGGGGAGC
rnacentral:rRNA from 1 species